rnacentral:tRNA from 1 species
UGAUAAUUAGUUUAAACAAAAACAAGUGAUUUCGACUCACUAGAUUAUGGCAACGACCACAAUUAUCAA